rnacentral:rRNA from 1 species
UUCUUUAAGAAAUUAUUUAAAGUAAGACCUGCUCAAUGAUUUAUAAAUAGCCGCAGUUUUACUGUGCUAAGGUAGCAUAAUAAUUUGCUCUUUAAUUAAGAGAUAGAAUGAAAGGUUCAACAUUAAAAAAUUGUCUCUAUUAAACAAAAUUAAAUUAAGAAUAAAGUUAAAACUCUUUUAAAAUAAAGCGGGACGACAAGACCCUGAUAAACUUAACAUUUAGUUGGGGAAACAAAAUAAUAAAACUUUAAUAAACAUAAAUACAAAACCCUAAAAUUAGAUAAAGACUAGUUACUACAGGGAUAACAGCGUUAUUUCUUUCAAGAGACCUUAUCUAAAAAGAAGAUUACGACCUCGAUGUUGAAUUAAUUAACCUAUUAAGACGCAAUAGCCUAAUAAGGUAGUCUGUUCGACUAUUAAAACAUU